UACGGAGGGUGCAAGCGUUAUCCGGAUUCACUGGGUUUAAAGGGUGCGUAGGCGGGUUGGUAGGUCCGUGGUGAAAUCCCCAAGCUUAACUUGGGAACUGCCGUGGAUACUAUCAAUCUUGAAUAUCGUGGAGGUAAGCGGAAUAUGUCAUGUAGCGGUGAAAUGCUUAGAUAUGACAUAGAACACCAAUUGCGUAGGCAGCUUACUACACGAUCAUUGACGCUGAGGCACGAAAGCGUGGGGAGCAAACAGG
rnacentral:rRNA from 1 species